UGUUCCUUCCUGGUCACAAGUCCCACCCCUUCCAUCAGACUAGAGGCAUCAGAGGUCUCAGCUCAAACGUUACCUUAUCCGUGAGGCCUUCCCUGGACCAUUCCAUAUAAAAUAGCAAUGACCAGCCAGUACUCCUUAGUUUCCUCACCCUGCUUUCUUUUUAUCCAUAGCAUUUACCACCAUUUGACAUAAUAUUUAUUUAACUGUUCUUCUGGAUCUACCCCCUGGAAUAUAAGUAAGUUCCAUGA